rnacentral:lncRNA from 10 species
UGUUGCCCAGGCUGGUCUCGAAUUCCUGGGCUCAGGCAAUCCUUCCACCUUGGCAUCCCAAAGUGCUGGGAUUACAGGUGUGAGCCACCAUGCCUGGGUGGCUAUAAUUUUUUUUUAAAGGAAAAUAAAUGUUGUCUAGGAUGUGGAGAAAUUAGAACCCUCAUACAUGCUGCUGGGGUUGUAAAAUGGUGCAACCACUUUGGAAAAGCAUUUAGCAGUUCUUCAAAAUAUUAGAAUUGCCAUAUUAUCAAGCAAUUCCACUCCCAGGUACAUACUCAAGAGAAUGAAAACAUAUAUUCACACAAAGGCUUAUACAUGAAUGUUCAUACCAUCAUUAUUAUAAACAAAGCAUGGUAACAAUGAACAUGUCCACCAACUGAUGGAUGGGUAAGGAAAAUGUAGUACCUUCAUACAGUGAAAUAUUAUUCAGCAAUAAAAAAGAAUGAAGCACAGAUACAUACACAUAUGAACCUUAAAAACAUUCUGCUACAUGAAAUAAGCGAGUCACAAAAGGCUACAUAUUGUAUGAUUCAUUGAUAUGAAGUAUCCAGAAUACACAAAUCCAUAGAAACAGGAAGUAGAUUGGUGGCCAGGGGCUGGGGAAAGGGGAAUGGGAAAUGACUGCUAACAGGUGUGGGGUUUCUUUUUGGAAUGAUGAUAAUGUUCUGAAAUUGACUGUGGUGAUUGUUGCACUACUCUGUUAAUAUGCUAAAAACCAUUAAAUUUGAACUUGGAAAAGAAUGAAUUUUGUGGUAUGUGAAUUAUAUCUCAAAAAAAGUUAUUUAAAAAACAAACCAGCCAGGAACAGUGCCUCACACUUGUAGUCUCAGCAACUCAGGAGGCUGAAGUGGGAGGAUCACUCGAGCCCAGGAGUUCCAGGCUGCAGUGAGCUAAAAUCACGCCACUAUACUCCAGCCUGGGCAACAGAGUGAGACUCUGUCUCAAAAACAAAAACAAAAGGCUGUAGAAGCAAAUGAAAGGGUUUAGGCUAUCUUGAUGGUAAUAGGGAAUCAUCAAACAGUUUUCGGAAGGACAACAAAAUGAUCCGAG